AGAGUUUGAUCCUGGCUCAGGACAAACGCUGGCGGCGUGCGUAACACAUGCAAGUCGGACGGGGCCGUAGUUGUUGAGUGAUCAAGAGCUAUGGUCGAGUGGCGGACGGGUGAGUAACACGUGGAUAACCUGCCCUGGUGUGGGGGAUACCCUGUAGAAAUACGGGCUAAGACCGCAUAUGGUCGCUUUGGGGUCACCGG
rnacentral:rRNA from 1 species